rnacentral:miRNA from 1 species
UGAGAUCAGUCAGAACAAUUCG